rnacentral:rRNA from 1 species
GACGUAGGGGGCCAGCGUUGCUCGGAAUUACUGGGUGUAAAGGGUUCGUAGGCGGUGUGGCAAGUCGGGAGUGAAAUCUCUGGGCUCAACCCAGAGUCUGCUUCCGAAACUGCUGUGCUUGAGUGUGGGAGAGGCGCGUGGAAUUGCAGGUGUAGCGGUGAAAUGCGUAGAUAUCGGGAGGAAUACCGGUGGCGAAGGCGACUCUCUGGACGGCAACUGACGCUGAGGCACGAAAGCGUGGGGAGCAAACAGG